ACAGUACAGUUUAUAUUCUAAGCACAGCCAUCACUUCUAAUAUUACUGUCAAUGGACUGAACAAGAUUCUGAUUUCCUUCCUUGGAGAUGCUUUGCCAGGGCCUUCACUGCAGCCAUCUUCACUUGCUGCUUGUUUGUGAGUCUUUUUGCCUCUCAUUUUUCAACCUACUGAAGAAACUGGCGCACAGCCAGAGAGCCUCGCCUCUCACCAUGAGGCAGCGGAGACGCAUCCUUCCUUCCUGGCCGCUCCAGCGAACGCGAAGGGCAGAAGCAUUCUCCCGUGCCUCGAAACCACGCUUUGGUGGGUAUGGGGUAGCUUGCGGAUAAAAAUCUGUUCGGAAAGAAGUCCGGCGCAAGUCUUCUCUGAGCCCGUGACGCACACCGGCACUAAGGUGCUUCGGCCACCCUACCCUUGCUUUUUCUCCAUUUUUGCCUUUUUUCAUCAAAUACACUUGUUCGGUGACCCGGCCCAGCCAUCUGGAAGACCGACCAGCCUGUCUAAAUUCUGUUCUACACAACUGGCAACCAGUUCAGGGUGUACCCCGCCUCAUGCCCGAUGAUAGCUGGGAUAGGCUCCAGCACUCCCGCGACCCUUGUGAGGAUAAGCGGCUCAGAAAAUGGAUGGAUGGACAACUGUUUUCCGUGUACUUGCGUUGCUUCGAUGACAACACCAACGCCUGUGGGCUUCAGAGCUUCAGUGACCGCCACAGCGAUUUGCUUGGUCAACCUCUCCUGAACUGUGAAGAAACACCACGGAUGAACUCUGAACAUGCUUGUUGCAAAGCAAAGGUUUUCGAUCUACCUUGUAGUCUGCGGCUGAAGAUCUCGACAAUCCUGAGAAAAGACCAUGGAUGUGAAGUGAAGGCUUAUGUACUGUAUAGAUUUCUUUUUUGCAACAAAGCUUAAAUUUACACAGUAUUUAAUCCUCAAGUGUUGUUCUUAAACAUUGUGGGGACCAGUGUUCAAACACAUAAAUGACAUAGUGUGUGACAUGAAAUAUGUCAGCAAUAACAAAUGCGCACUUGUAUGACUGCAAACAGUCUCAAAGUCAUGAGUGAAGCCCAAACACCCACAAUUGCUUUAACAGCCAGCAGAUAGUAGUAUUACUGUUUGCAAAGAGAUGGCAGUUUGUAGUGUUUUAUACAUAAUUUCAGUUUUACCUUGUGUAAUUUGACCGUUUCGAAAGGUUUGUAAACAAUAGCCGCCACGAUGCUUCCUGGUGGCAGAAAAUUGACCACCGCAGCCUUAAACUGAACCAAUACACUGCCAGUUUCAUCCUAACAGGUUUAGUGUACUGUGCCUGGUGGAGUAGUAGCUACUUCUGAAGGGACAGACUGGGAACCAAAAUCGGAUUUGUGGAGGACAUUUUCAUACAGGUACAGUAUGUAUAAAAUGUUUGGUUGGGGUCUUUGAGUAAUUUAGCAAACUAUAAUGUCUAGCUUGCUAGUGGACUAGAGUGACGCUAUCCAUGAGUGAUGUGCGGUCAGGGGAGGCGCUCCGCCUCCCCAGAAUUAUGAAGGAUGAAAGA